rnacentral:lncRNA from 1 species
CUUGUGUGAUCAAGUUUUUUUGUUCGUCAGUGUGACGUGUGUGUGAAGUCUGCUCCAGAGACUUGGAGUAUUGAAGUCUAGGCUCAGGGGGAGUUUAGCCCAAGGUUAGGUUAUCUUGGUUAAAUCUAGACUCAGGGGGAGUUUAGUUAAGGAUAGAGAUUUAUCCUUAAGGUUUCAUGUUAUAGUUCAGAGCGGUAGUUCAAGAGGUGUGUGCUUGAUUUACGCGUUUCCAAAUUUGUUGUAUUUGCUUUCUUGUUCGAGUGAAAUCGAAAUCUGGACUUGGUCCCGAGGAGUAGGAAAAACCAAACCUCGUUAACAAACUUUGUAUCUCAUUUAUUU